GUGCCAGCCGCCGCGGUAAUACGUAGGGCGCAAGCGUUGUCCGGAAUUAUUGGGCGUAAAGAGCUCGUAGGUGGCGUGUCGCGUCUGCCGUGAAAGCCCAUGGCUUAACUGUGGGUCUGCGGUGGAUACGGGCAGGCUGGAGGCUGGUAGGGGCAAGCGGAAUUCCUGGUGUAGCGGUGAAAUGCGCAGAUAUCAGGAGGAACACCGGUGGCGAAGGCGGCUUGCUGGGCCAGUUCUGACGCUGAGGAGCGAAAGCGUGGGGAGCGAACAGGAUUAGAUACCCUCGUAGUCC
rnacentral:rRNA from 1 species